GAUGAACGCUGGCGGCGUGCCUAAUACAUGCAAGUCGAGCGAACGGACGAGAAGCUUGCUUCUCUGAUGUUAGCGGCGGACGGGUGAGUAACACGUGGAUAACCUACCUAUAAGACUGGGAUAACUUCGGGAAACCGGAGCUAAUACCGGAUAAUAUUUUGAACCGCAUGGUUCAAAAGUAAAAGACGGUCUUGCUGUCACUUAUAGAUGGAUCCGCGCUGCAUUAGCUAGUUGGUAAGGUAAAGGCUUACCAAGGCAACGAUGCAUAGCCGACCUGAGAGGGUGAUCGACCACACUGGAACUGAGACACGUUCCAGACUCCUACGGGAGGCAGCAGUAGGGAAUCUUCCGCAAUGGGCGAAAGCCUGACGGAGCAACGCCGCGUGAGUGAUGAAGGUCUUCGGAUCGUAAAACUCUGUUAUUAGGGAAGAACAUAUGUGUAAGUAACUGUGCACAUCUUGACGGUACCUAAUCAGAAAGCCACGGCUAACUACGUG
rnacentral:rRNA from 1 species